rnacentral:rRNA from 1 species
GACGAACGCUGGCGGUGUGCUUAAUACAUGCAAGUCGAACGGCUCUUCGGAGCAGUGGCGGACGGCUGAGUAACGCGUAGGUAACGUGCCUCUUACUGGGGGAUAACAUCGGGAAACUGGUGCUAAUACCGCAUAAGUCACGAGUUGAAAUACUUGUGAUUAAAGAAUUUCGGUAAGAGAUCGGCCCGCGGCUGAUUAGCUGGUUGGUAGGGUAAUGGCCUACCAAGGCGGUGAUCAGUAGUUGGUCUGAGAGGAUGACCAGCCAGAGUGGGACUGAGAACGGCCCACACUUCUACGGAAGGCAGCAGUAGGGAAUUUUGCGCAAUGGGCGAAAGCCUGACGCAGCAACACCGCGUGCGGGAUGAAGGCCUUCGGGUCGUAAACCGCUGUCGGCAGGGAAUAAAUUGACUGUACCUGCAAAGGAAGCACCGGCUAACUACGUGCCAGCAGCCGCAGUAA